GUGAGUUUUAUGAAAAAAAACGCACCCAAGAUUAAAAUGCGCGUGCAUUUCGACAUUUUAUGUUCGUAUAGUUACAUGAAAUCCGUGUGAACACGUUCUGGUCAAAACAUUGAAGUGGACUCGCAAAUGCUAUAAAUGUAAACAAUUGAAGUGGCUAUGGUCAAAGGCUAUGGGCCGUAUCAAAUGUAUGAAAGUUUGGCACCGUCGGUAUCGGCCAAUUGAAAGCGAAGUCGACGAACGCGCGGUAGAACCGUGCACGGUCGAAUUCACAGCUUCCGUGAACGCAGAUGGAGAUAGUUCGAUCGUCGUGAUAGCCCAGGUCGUAGGGAAAUUUUUGAAGAACCCCUGACGACGGAUCUACCGCAAAACGUGCCGUGGCCGGACAGCCCUGGAACUGAACGGCCAACCGCAGCUGAAGGCCUCGUUGGAUUCGGCGCUCACGAUCGCUCGCCCGAUCGAAUCGCCCGAAAUGAAAAAUGCUGGUGACGCGUGGAUUGUUACGCCGGACGUGCGGUCGUUGACCGUUCGCGCGACCAUAGCUCCCGAAACGGAAAACGUUGGGCCGGUAGCGGUUGUACCGGUGAAAUGGCCAAGGUUGAAAAACGUUGUGUUUUUCGCAAAAGCCAUUCCGGACGAAGACGUGAUGGUCCGAGUGGACGUUAAAACAGAAAAGGUCGAACAGUCCAUCGUCACCGCAAAACCGGUCGUCGGACGGUUUUCGAACCAGUUCCACUACUAACAGACCUAUCGCAAAGUAAGGAUCACUUGGACGACCGCUGAUACUUUAAAACUGUACAAACGACUGUUGCCGGCGGUAACGGUGGACUGUUGGCCACUUCCAAUCGUUUUUCAAAGAACGAUUCAGCCGACAAUUACAGUCACCACCGUUGCCGCAGCCGCAACGAACAUUUUAAAAGCGCCACUGGCCAUUGAAUGGAAACUACUAGCCAUACUACCAUCGCUCACAAUUACAGCACCAUUGGUCAAAACCGUAGCACUACUGACCAUAACCACCGGAUAUCCGGCCAUAACUGCCCACCACCAGCAAUAACUGCGGCAUAACCACCGGAAAAUCCAAAUCGUAGAUUAUGUAAUCGACCUAAUUGCAAAAACCGUCACUGUCGCAGACGACAAAUUGCGGCU
rnacentral:misc_RNA from 1 species